UACGAAGGGGGCUAGCGUUGCUCGGAAUCACUGGGCGUAAAGCGCACGUAGGCGGAUCUUUAAGUCAGGGGUGAAGUCCUGGAGCUCAACUCCAGAACUGCCUUUGAUACUGGGGAUCUCGAGUCCGGAAGAGGUGAGUGGAACUCCGAGUGUAGAGGUGAAAUUCGUAGAUAUUAGGAAGAACACCAGUGGCGAAGGCGACUUUCUGGACUGUAACUGACACUGAGGCUCGAAAGCGUGGGGAGCAAACAGG
rnacentral:rRNA from 1 species